rnacentral:rRNA from 1 species
CCUACGGGUGGCUGCAGUGGGGGAUAUUGCACAAUGGGGGGAACCCUGAUGCAGCGACGCCGCGUGGGUGAAGAAGCGCCUCGGCGCGUAAAGCCCUGUCAGCAGGGAAGAAAAUGACGGUACCUGAAGAAGAAGCCCCGGCUAACUACGUGCCAGCAGCGGCGGUAAUACGGAGGGGGCAAGCGUUAUACGGAUUUACGGGGUGUAAAGGGGGCGUAGACGGCGAUGCAAGCGAGGAGUGAAAGCCUGGGGCCCAACCCCGGGAGUGCUCUUCGAACUGGGUGGCUGGAGUGCAGGAGGGGCAGGCGGAAUUCCUGGUGUAGCGGUGAAAUGCGUAGAUAUCAGGAGGAACCCCGGUGGCGAAGGCGGCCUGCCGGACUGCAACUGACGUUGAGGCCCGAAAGCGUGGGGAGCAAACAGGAUUAGAUACCCCAGUAGUC